ACCGGGGGAACUGAAACAUCUAAGUACCCCGAGGAAAAGAAAUCAACCGAGAUUCCCCCAGUAGCGGCGAGCGAACGGGGAGGAGCCCAGAGCCUGAAUCAGCAUGUGUGUUAGUGGAAGCGUCUGGAAAGGCGCGCGAUACAGGGUGACAGCCCCGUACACAAAAGCGCAUGUGCUGUGAGCUCGAUGAGUAGGGCGGGACACGUGGUAUCCUGUCUGAAUAUGGGGGGACCAUCCUCCAAGGCUAAAUACUCCUGACUGACCGAUAGUGAACCAGUACCGUGAGGGAAAGGCGAAAAGAACCCCGGCGAGGGGAGUGAAAAAGAACCUGAAACCGU
rnacentral:rRNA from 1 species